UAGUAGCACUUAUAGGAACUGUCUGGAGUGCCUACGAAAGUAGGAAUAAUGCACAUUAAAUUAAAUCCUUGUGCAAGGUA
ncrna:unclassified sequences RAGATH-12 RNA